rnacentral:tRNA from 1 species
GGUUGUGGCUCAGCGGUACAGUGCUUGCCUAGCAUGUGGGAGGCACUGGGUUCGAGUCUCAGCACCA